rnacentral:rRNA from 1 species
UACGUAGGGGGCGAGCGUUGUCCGGAAUUAUUGGGCGUAAAGAGCUCGUAGGCGGCCCUCCACGUCGGAUGUGAAAGCUCAGGGCUCAACCCUGAGAUGCCAUUCGAUACGGGAAGGCUAGAGGUAGGUAGGGGAAAGUGGAAUUCCUGGUGUAGCGGUGAAAUGCGCAGAUAUCAGGAGGAACACCGGUGGCGAAGGCGGAUCUCUGGGCCUUACCUGACGCUGAGGCGCGAAAGCUAGGGGAGCGAACAGG